GACGAACGCUGGCGGCGUGCUUAACACAUGCAAGUCGAACGGAAAGGCCAUGCUUUUGUGGGGUGCUCGAGUGGCGAACGGGUGAGUAACACGUGAGUAACCUGCCCUUGACUUUGGGAUAACUUCAGGAAACUGGGGCUAAUACCGGAUAGGAGCUCCUGCUGCAUGGUGGGGGUUGGAAAGUUUCGGCGGUUGGGGAUGGACUCGCGGCUUAUCAGCUUGUUGGUGGGGUAGUGGCUUACCAAGGCUUUGACGGGUAGCCGGCCUGAGAGGGUGACCGGCCACAUUGGGACUGAGAUACGGCGCAGACUCCUACGGGAGGCAGCAGUGGGGAAUAUUGCACAAUGGGCGGAAGCCUGAUGCAGCAACGCCGCGUGCGGGAUGACGGCCUUCGGGUUGUAAACCGAUUUCGCCUGUGACGAAGCGUGAGUGACGGUAAUGGGUAAAGAAGCACCGGCUAACUACGUG
rnacentral:rRNA from 1 species